rnacentral:lncRNA from 1 species
AACGCUAUUCCUCAGCCAAAUGAAUUAGAUGAUUAAUAAGUAUAACACGUAAUUGAAUUCAAAGUCCACGUUUGCCAUCCCCUAAGCAGAGGAGGUUUCGUUGUAUAUUGUUAUUGAUGGAAAGAAACUGAGGUACUUUGGCUAAACAAAAGAGGGUACAGAUGGCAUUGUGCUUCAACUACACAAAAGGAGCCUGCUUAUAUACAUGCUUGCUGCAUGCCAAUUUCUGCUCUCUGGUAUUUUAGUGGAGAAAGGAGAUUUCUUUAAAGACACUAAAGUGAGCAUUCCUGAAAUAACUGCUAUCCUCGUGGAGUCCUGUUCCUGGUCCUGUCUACUCAAGAGAUUGUGGGUGUCGCCUGCCUUGAGUUGGCCACCCUCAUGGGCUUCUUUGUUACUGGCAAUCAAAGUCCUGAUAACCUUGAUGUGAUACCCCUGCAUUCAUCCCAGGUAAAAUUCUAAUGAAAAGCCACUUCUCUCAGAUCAUCAUGUGGGAUGGUAGAUUUCACCUGUUGACAGAUACCUAGGGAUAGAUAUGGACUUGGAAGUCAGGAGGACCUGGGUUCAAAUCCCUACUCAUCCACUUGUGGGCAAGAGAGCCUGGAAAAUUUACUUACUCUAAAAACCUGUUUCAUUGUCUAUAAAGAUGCAGAUAAUAACAAUGACAAUAGAAUUUUAUAUGGACUGAAUGAGCUAAUCCAAUGUAAAUGUGUAACACUGGGUCUGAUUUGGUAAAAAAGCACCAUUUUAUAAACAUAGAGAGCAAUUCAGGAUGAGGAAAGGCAACAGAGUUCUAUUACCUUUCAGGUCUCAGUUCAUGUCAAUAUCAAUUUUGAAAUGUCAUUCAACAAAACAAGUAUAUAGUGAGUUCUUAUUAGGUGUCAGGCACAAAUUCCAGGAGUUGGGUAAGACAGUCAGUGUCCCUACCCUCAGGAAGCUUACAUUUUAAUAAAGAAAGAAAGGAAAGAAGGGAGACAGGGAGGGAGGGAAAGAAAAAAUAAAAUGUAAUUGAUGUAGCAGUACAAACCCUCAGGCAUUAUGAUAGGGGUGACUUUUGCAAAUCCCCCCGAUAUGGUUUGGCUGUGUCCCCACCCAAAUUUAUCUUGUAUCGUAGCUCCCAUAAUUUCCACGUGCUGUGAGAGGAACCUGGUGGGAGGUAAUUGAAUCAUGGGAGCAGUUUCCCCCAUGCUGUUCUCAUGGUAGUGAGUAAGUCUCACAGAUCUGAUGGUUUUAUAAAGGGAAACCCCUUUUGCUUGGCUCUUAUUCUCUAUUUGCCGGUCACCAUGUAAGAUAGCCUCUUGCUCCUUUUUCGUUUUCUGCCAUAAUUGUGAGGCCUCCUCAGCCAUGUGGAACUGUGAGUCAAUUAAACCUCUUUCCUUUGUAAAUUAUCCAGUCUUGGGUGUGUCUUUAUCAGCAGCGUGAAAACGGACUAGUAUACCCCCUAACCCUAACCCUAACCAAACAACUUUGAUUUUGU